AUGUGGGGCUCGAGCCCCUGAAGCCGUGAGAUCAUGACCUGAGCUGAAACCGAGAGUCAGACACUUAACCAACUGAGCCACGCAGAAGUCCUGUAAAUGAUUUCUGUAUUAAAAAUUAUUUAUGGUGGGGGUACUGGAUCAGGACCUGAUCUCAGUGCUCAGGAGUUUGAGCCCUGCGUUGAGCUUUCUGCUGUCAGCACAGAGCCCCCUUUUGAUCUUCUGUCCUCCUCUCUCUCUGCCCUUCCCCCCUCACCUGCUCACAUGCACUCUACUUCUCAAACAUUUAAGAAGUUAUUUAUGGUAAAACUGUGCAUGUGUACACCUUGAUGAAACAGUAUUUUGGAAUAAAAAGGAGAUUCCAGGAUAUAGUUACAGAGCGUCUCACAUAUUAUAUCAUUAUAUAUAAUCAUCAUAUAUCAUAUCAUUAUAUCUCACAUAAUAUUAUCAUUAUUAUUAUGCUAUUUUGCCUCAUCAAUUGCAAGUUUUAGCUUUAAAUUAUAGCCAGAAAUUCACAAAUGUCAAGUUUAUAAAAAUCUUUUCUCAGCUAUUUGAUGCACAUAUACAUUGUGAAAGGAGUCCUGCGAUCGAGUCGAGUAACCUAUCCAUCACCCCACAUACAGCGGUGCCCCCUUACCCUGGCUUUUGCUUUCUGUGGUUUCAGUUACUAUUCCCCUCCAACCCACCCCCCCGCCCAACCAUCACUCAACCAAGAUCCAGAAGCAGGUGAUCCUCCUUCUGAUAUAUGGUUAAGAAAUCACUAAGAAAUCAAUAGUAGCCUAACUACCUCAUGAUGUUUAUGUCAUUCACCUCUUCUUCUCAUUACGUAGGCAUUUGGUCAUCUCACAUCAAUACAAGUAAAAGGGUGAGUACAGUAAGGUAUUUUGAGGGACCACAUUCAAAUAAUUUUUAUGACUAUAUUAUUAUUUAUUAUUAAUCACUGCUAAUCUCUUACUGUGCCUAAUUUAUAAAUUAAGCAUUAUCUUACAUAUGUGUGCAUAGGAAAAAACAGAGUAUAUGUAGGGUUCCAUACUAUCCAUGGUUUCAGGCAUCCACUUAGGGGGCUUAGAACGUAUUUCCUGAGGAUAAGGGGGAGACUGCUGUAUUUCUUCCCUUUUUUUGGUAAGAACAUUUAAAUUCUACUUUCAGCAAAUUUCAAGUAUACAAUACAUUGUUAUCAACUAAAGUCACCAUUGUUAUCAACUAAAGUCACCAUGUUAUACAUCAGAUCCUCACACCUUAUUCAUCUUGUAGCAGAGUUUAUACCUUUUUAUCAAGUGUCCCUAUUUCCCCCCAGCCCCUGGGAACCACUUUUCUACUCUUUAUAAACAAGAUCUUUACCAGACUAGAAUACCACUUUGUAAUGAAAUAGAGAAUGACUAUGAAAAUCAUGUGGUGUUUUCUUUGCUAUACUUGAUGGCAACAAUGUUCGAUGGCUUUGUUUUCAUUACUUUGGCAGUUGUUGAACUUGAAGAUGUUAUGCAUUUUUUCCUUUGCAAAAUAGUGUCCCAAAUUUGUUGACCUUUUCCUUUUCCUUGGCUGUCCUUAGUUUUUCUGGUAGAUAUUUAAAGUACAAAAACAAACUCCAUAAUCUUCGUAUACAAUAAAGGUGAUAAAUUAAAAAAAUGAAUAAGAAAUAACUCCUUUUGAAAAAAGCAUAGGCCAUAGAGUAUUUUGAAGAUUAAUGUUUGAAAAGUUCCCAUUGUUAAUAUGGUUUUGUUGCAAAAAAAAGUAAAUAUUUCAUGCAUAACAAUUUUCAUUGGAAACUAGUAUGUUUAAAAAUAUUUUCAAAUGAUAUAUUUUAGAGUUUGAAGCAAUAUGUUUAAGUUUACACCAACGGAACAUUCAGUGAGUAAAUAUAGCAGGAUGAAAAUUUACCAACUCAUUUUUUUAAGUUUUUAUUUUAAUUCCAGUUUACUAGCUCAUUUUUAACAAAACUUCUGCCUAAACGGUAGGUAGCAUUGAGCAAUGAGUGUCAGGACUUAGGACCAGCCAAGGACAAACUUUCCACCUGCCUCUGUGUGACAGCAUGCAGACCAAGGAUGUCCGUACAUAAGCCCACACCCAAAUCUUCUAAUCCUUUGUUUUCUUCCAAUAUAUAUAUUUUUAUCAACAACCAAGAUAUUUUAUAAAAUUAGGGAAUUUUCAUUCAUAAUUGUGUUUAUAAAAACAUCUAGAAAAAUAACAAUUUUGAGGAGGAUAGUUUUAUACCAAUAAAUAAAUAGUUUAAAAUUCUGCUUUUUAUGUUGAUCUUUUUUUACCUUCUAUUUUUAGCAUUUUUGAUUGUAUACAACUUACUAUAGUGCUUGUGUGCGAUUAUACAUAAAUAUUAAUAAAAGGGGUGAUGUUUUUUCUAAACCAAAGUGGUACAUGAUUUUCAGAGGUGGGAUUAAAAAUGUUUACGGUCCUGGCAACUGAAACCCAAAGAAGCAAAUUGAAUUGAUUCAGGGGUCUCAGACCAGAACUGGAACUUAGGUCUGUCUUUUCCUAUGUGGGUUUUUUUCCAUCUUACACCCUUCUAAUGUAUUUUUAUUGCCCUAGGUGAAGAGGAUUGUGUUGAAACACAUUUACAUCUGCUGGAGAAUUGGAGCAUGAGCAGUGGGACUCACUCUUUUGUUUGGUUAUGAUACAGCUGGUGGUAGAAACCUGAACUCUCAGAGAUACUCAUCUCCAUAGGAAAAGCAGUGGGUGAUGGGAUAAAACAUUAGGUCUCAAACCUGAGUUUCGCUUUUUCCAUAAAGAACUGUAUUUUUUUGUCCCUUAACUCCUUGCUGGUUGGAUGCAAGUUUUCUAAUUAUUUUGUGUCGCCUUCAUGGUGAUUAGCACUGGGCAGGAUGGUCUAAUGGUUAAGAAAAUAGUGACUGUUGAGAGUCACAGGGUCUGUGGUACGGCUGUCUACUAGAGGUAUAAACUUGACUGAUGGCCUUUCCAUGCCUUGCUUUUCUCAUGUGUAAAACAGAAGUAAUAAGUGGGUUACUAAUAGACUAUAUCUCAUGAGCUUCUUGUGACCAAGAACUGAGUUAAUUCAUGUAAAGCUCUUAGAAAAGCGGCUGACAGAUAGAAUGGUGAUAGCUGAGUUUUGGAAGAAAGGAUAAAGAAACUAUCUUCUAGAACCUUUGUUUCAGCUUUUGAGAUGAAAGAGGAUUGGAAUAAUCUUAGCAGAUUGACAGCAUACAGUGCAACUGUGUUCCUAAUUCUGGUCUUGAUGAGGAUUUUGACUUUUAUGUAUUUAUAAAUACAUACAAUUAUAAAAAGAAUGUCUUUUAUGUGUUUAUAACACUAGGUGGCAGUGUUAGCACAAGAUGGGAAAUCCAGAGUAGUUUUUGUUUGUUUUUUUCUUUUUUCUUCUCUUGCCUCUCCCAGAUUUAUAACUUUCUAGUCAGCUUUUGAAUCUCUGAUCAGUCCAGUAUUAGUAGUCUUAGCACAUCCCAGAGCUGAUUCCUACCAGAGAACGGCUAAAGGAUUAACAGGAAAUUUAAAUGAUCAUUGUCUCCUAUGGGCUUGUAGCAUUGUGGAAAAGUUAAGGUGGCUUUUCUACUGUGCAGGAAUGGAUUAGGGAAGGCUUUAGUGCAGUAAGCAGUGGCCUGGAGAGACUGUGCCUCUCCCCCAGUACGCCAGCUUUGAGAGGCUGUCAUGUUUCAGGAAUCUCCAUGCUUCUUCUGCUAAUGAGCCACGUACACUUAGCAGUGAGGAUUCUGCUGCGGCCAUUUCUUGCUGACUCUCUCUGUGGGGGAGGCAAGUCUUUAUUUGCUAGAACACUUGGGUCUUGAUUUUAAAACUGCCAGUGUUUUAAAUAAAUUUUUUAUUCGUUUUAGAUUGUUUACCCGGGGCUCCUUCAAGAAAACAGUAAGCAGACUGCUGGAAUUAUCACCUGUUAAAAUGAAAUAUGCAGCUGGCCCAAGUGGGCAAAGGCAUGAGGACCACAGGGACGUGAGGGCUGCUCUUGCUCCUUCUUUGAACUGCAUGUUCACAGUGUUAAUUGAGCCCAAAGAGUUCUCAUUAGGCAGAUCAACCCUUCAUUGGAUUUCAGCAUCUCUUUCUCUCUCUCCAUGCACACACACAUAUUUUUGUUCAUUCAAACCACAAAUAUUGAGUGCCCACUAUGAGCCAGGCACUGAUAUCAAAAAUGCAGAUAAAGCAGUGAACGAAACAAGUGAUGACACCUCUCUUACAGAGUUUAUAUCACGGUAUGAGACGCACAAAUAUGGUAGGUGGUAAGUGUUGUAAAGUAAAGUGGUAUAAAUGGGUAGUAAUGGGAAAUAAAGGGGAUUCCAUUUUAGAGUGACCAAGGAAGGAUUCUUGGCUAUGGUGAAGUCUAAGCAGACACCUGAAUUGCUAAAGACUGAAUGGUCCACGACCCCCCAUUCAUAUGUUAAAUCCUAAUGCUCAUUGUGGUGGUAUUUGGAGGUGGGGUUUUGGGGAGGUGAUUAGGUCAUGGGAGUGGAGCCCUCAAGAAUGAGAUUAGUGUUCUUAUAAUUGAGGUCUUAGCUGUCUUUUCCACCAUGUGAGGGCAUAGCGAAAUGACAUCCAUCUAAUAACUAGGAAGGGGUAUUUCACCAGACACUGAAGCAGUGCCCUGAUCUAGGACUUCCCAGCCUCCAAAACUAUGAGUAAUAAAGCUGUAUAUAAGCUACCAACACAUGGUAUUCUCUUACAACAACAGCCUGAGGGGACUAAGACAUGAAUGAAAUGAGGUAGUGAAUGUGUAGUUUAUUAGGGUAAGAACAUUUCAGAGGGAGGUGCAUACAAAUGGUCUGAGGAAAUUGGGGGGUGAGGCACUGAGGCAGGAGGGGCAGAUACAAACUGAUGGGGCCUCAAGCUUGUGAAAAUUAGUCACCCUCUUUAAGAGGGAAUGCAAAAAUAAAUACAAGAGUAAAUAUUUACGAAAGAAAAUCCCAAGAAAUUACAAAAUAGAAAAAGCUGACAAGUUUUUUCAAGCAUCAGAGUCUAGUUAGGGCAUUUUACCCAUUAACUGCCCGACACCCUGUAGAAUGAUUUUCCCUUACAGUUUUGGCUGUGCACUCUUUGAUUACUUCUUCAUUCAACUUUGAUGGUGUAAUACAUGUUUAUGGAGACAAUGGAUAAUUUAGUCUUUCCUUUAGCAUCAUUGAGCAAAAUAUUACUGAUGGUUUAUACAUUUCUUGCAGCUUCAUACCUUUUUUUUUUGUUUCUGCCAUGUGAAUUUCCAAAGUUCUCAAAAUUGGAAAAUCUCACAAAUUUCUUUCAAAUAUGAACUAUAAGAUUUGAAAGAUUUUUCCACAAAAUGGCUUUCAGUUUUAUUCAUUUCUAUGCUUGUUUUUUUAACCUCUGACCAAAUAUUUCUAAAGCUGGAUGUUGUGGGACCACAUUCACAUCUCAUUUGACUUUUGUCUUCACUGUCACAUCAUGACAUUGUACAAUGGGUCAGCAUGGAGGAGGACAGCCAUUUCCUGGAAGUCCUUCCUAUGCCAAGAUAGCUAACAACAUGCAGAAGUAACAAGGCACGGGGACAUAUCACACAAAUAAAAUCCUGGAAUCAACUUCUUUUUAGCUAGAUCCUCAAAAUGCCCAGGGCCGCUCCACAGCCGUCUGAUAAGAGGAGGGACACUAAUGGAGGGAAAAUAGGACUGGAAAGAGACAGAGGUCUUAACUGAUUGUGGUUAAAAUAUUUCUCUUUUUUAAACUUUACCAAAUCUUAGGACUAUGUCAACACAUCACUAUACCAGUAAGGGGCCUGAAUCUUAUGCUUUAUUAAUUUCAUGGUAAAACUGUCUCUUCCAGGGUAGGAAGAUACCCCUGCCCCACUGUUAGGUCAUUAAAGGGAGAGUAGGUCCAAGAGCGUGGGAUUUGUCGAGGACAGUGAUAUGACAAAGUUCCAGAACAUACCCAACAGGCCAUGGCAGACAGAUUUCCCAUCUUGUACAGUUGUGCUUCUCCCCAGAGGACAUGAGACUGUGGGAUAAACAUGGGAGGGUCAUUUUACUGGAUGGGUGGUGAUGGUGGUGGGUGAAGGGGAGGUGGGGUUAGGCCAUUUCACUGUUAGUUACCAUUUUCAUAUGAAAUAUUUAAAAAAUGUCAAUCCCGCUUAUAAAGUAUAUUGAUCACAUGUGAAUUUUUAGGUCGAAAUAAUCUUCCAGAAGAAUGUUUCCCUUUAAGUGGCCUGUGUUAGGGACAUGGCCAUGACCUUUCCACAGUUAGGGCUUUCUUGGUAGGAAAUUCAGAGAAGUGUAUUUUGACUAAAAGUUCCAUCUUAUAAUGGCCUAUGGUCUCUUGUCCACCAGUGUGACACUGCUGAUGUCACUGGAACUGAUAGGUUUUUAUUUGUUUUUUUCAUAGUUGUGGUUCUUCACACAACCUUUUUGUAUGGAUAAGGAAUAUGGCAUAGAGGUUAAGAGUGAAGGUCUUUUUUUGUAAUGCUUAUUUAUUUAUUCUGAGAGAGAGUGUGUGAAAGGGGGAAGGGCAGAGGGGGAGGGAGACAGAGGAUCUAAAGAGAUUUGAAGCAGGCCCUGCUGUCAGCACAGAGCCUGAUAUAGGGCUUGAACCGUGAGAUCGUGACCUGAGCCAAAGUCAGAUGCUUAACCGACUGAGUCCCCCAGAUGCCCCACAAGUGCAGAUUUUGGUGCCAAAAUGUGGCUUUUCCUUGGGCUCCACUACUCACUUUCUGGAUGCCUCACCGUUCUGUUUCCCCCUCUGUAAAAUGGGGAUCAUGAAUCAUGCAGUUAUUAUGAGCAUUAACUGAAUUAAUCUUCGGCAUGAGUCAGUGCCUGGCACAAAGUACGUAUGCUAUUUGUCAUGUCAGCUACUUGAAUGAUGUCUCCGUGUGUGACUCCUACGCGGCCUCUUCCCUUUACUUAUUAUCCAUCCUCGCUGAGAGACAAGUUGUUGGCGUUCAUGCUGCCACUUCUGAAACGUGUUGGAAGGCCCAGCUAAUCAGGAUGAGGCUCGCCACCAGGCCUCAAGAGGGCCAUGCUCCACUCCCAUCAUAUUUUGAGCAGGUGUCUUAUGGCCGAAACUUUUCACUCCGAAUAAAAUCAUGUAAAAUGUGGCUGCUUAGUUUAAAUCAGAGAUGGGACGUCCAGAAGCCCACCUAUUUGUGCCCCGUCUGUAGUACUGUCCCCAAUUUAUCCUCCUACAAAUCCACAGAGUCAUAAUCCUGUGUGCCAACCGACCUUUUAGCCAAAUUGUCAGUCGGAAUGAUUUGAGUUUCUUCUCUGGGUCCUGCCCUGUGUAUUUUACAGUUUUAGGUGGAAGAAAAUUGAGGGCUGGCUGUCCUCAUUUUAGAUUCAACUACCACUUCUUGAACAUCUAAACAUCAUGCCACAAACUCUCAUUAUUAACCUGAAAAGUGUGCAUUGUAUUUUCAGAUGCAUCUAGUAAGCCUCAGAGAGUUAAGAUCCUUGCUCACAACAGAACCAUCAUGACUUCGAAACACUUCUUAAAAUGCUCUAGACUUUAUGCCCACCUUUUAGUGCAACUGAAAUCGGUCUCAACUUACAUUUAUAUAAAACUCUGUUAUGUAAAAAAUUCUUUUACUUUUGAAAUGUUGGCAUUUGGUACUCAAAUAUCAUUUUUUUCUCCUCAAGUAUUUGUUCUCAAACUAGGCUUUUCCAGUUGACAAAAUUGAGUCUCUGAAGAUUAGUUGAAGACCACAGAACAAGUGAGAGACAUAACUGGGAUUCCAACCAGGUCAUCUGGCCUCAAGCCCAGGGUACCCAGCCCACCAUGACUCAGGUGAAGGUCUAAAUCCACACCGCACUUUCCCAUACAGGCUGCUGCUUCUCAGAGGCCCUCCGCCUUCUCCAGAUCCUCUGCUGUUGUAUGUCCUCAUGGCACACAAAGGAGAGUCCAUUUAACCCAGUGACGAAGAUACCAUUACAAUUUCCAGUGAGCAAAUGACAUAUGUAAUGGUCCAACGUGAAGACAGUAAUGCUCCUGUUAUUAACCCAGCUCACAAGGGACCAAGAGGAAUGAAGUUAAUAAGAAGGAACAAUCUGAAAGCUCUGGCUGAAAGUUACUGAUGGUCACCCAUGGUCUGGAAGCAGAUGGUCCUCGUUUUGAUGAACCGUGAGAAGGUCCAGAGUAGCCACAUGCUACGUGCCUGUGUCGUUCCCCUCACAUGAUCUCAGCAUGUGGGCGUUUUAGCAUCUUAUAUCGUCACAAGAAGACAGGACGCAGACGAUUCUCCUGACGAAUCAUCAGAGGGUCAACAGUAGCCUAGCGCUGCGUCACAGUGUCUGCGUCAUUUUCUUCGCUUCAUCUCAUCACAUAGGUAUUUUACCGUCUCACAUCGUCAUAAGAAAAGGGACAGUGGUGCUCUGAAGAACAGCAAAGGAGGAGUGUGAAGAUGUUGCCCACCAGUCUCCAUCCCUGGAGAGUGUUCCAGGAGGCUCUCAGAUGUGUGUGUUAAAUUAGAUGCCUGACUCUCGGGCUGACACUUUAAUAUAACCAGUCACCACCCAGCCGGCCUGUAGGUUGUUGUCAGAGGAAAUUAUUCCACGUGUCGCUGUGAACUCGGUGUGCCCAUGGGAGGAGGAGAUACAGCAAAAGCUCAUACUGUCUGUAUAAUGCUUCCACAAGCACAGGUGCUUGGCGCUGCUGAUUCUGCUGGGCUUGAGCUAACGUUGAAGAGUAGGAAUGUGGCUUUACUAUUAUCCAACCAGGAGAGUGAUGGCAGGCUCCUCAAGCUUGUCUGAAAUACAAAUAUAUUGGAAACUUUAUGAACUGCUCUUCUUAGGGGCCAAAUAGUGAAAACAUUUAAGAUUCUAUUGGUUAGAAGCAAGUCACAGUUUCCACUGCACUUCAAGGGAGAGGAUUAUACAACUGCAUGACUCAUUGGUGAUCACCACAGUGUGUUUCUGCCACAGAGUUCAAUCAUGUAAAUCAUGGUAAGGGAUUUGGAUUCAUACUAAGUGAAAUGGGAUUUUGUGGAAGGAAAGGAAGAAAAGAGGAAGGAAGGAAGAGUUAAAUUAUGUCCCAGGAAAUUAAGACAAAAGGAGAAGAUGAUUCUGUUUAAAGGCUUCGAGGUGAUUCUUGGAGAAGGUGGCUCUAGGGUAACAGGCUGAUGGAUAAGUACAGAAAGAGAUCGUAUCAGAGGAAGAUUGUAUCUGUGCAAAAACUGCAGGUGGACAAGAGCAGGGUGUGACUGAGGGAGAGCAGGUAGCACAUAGGUAUGAAGUGUUUAGGAUGCAUAGGGUCAAAAGUAAAUAGAAACCAAAAGGGUUUUAACGUAGUUGGUGAUUUGAGAUGGUCUUAAAAGAGAUCUGUAUUAUCAGACACGCUAGUUUUAAAGAUAACCCAGUGCAGACAAUAGGGAGAAUGAAUUAGAGGAAGAACUCAAAAUAGGUAAGGAGACCACUACAUCCAGUAAAAUUUAAACACAUUUUGAAUACAUUUUGAAAUCUUUGAACUGCACAACAAGCACCAGAACAACUUUCUUUCUUUUUUAACUGCUUUAUUGGGGUAUGAUUGACAUACAAAAUACUGUAGGAAUUUAAUAUACAUGACUUGAUUUAUUUGGAGAAAAGUAUAUGCCCAUGAAACCAUUAUCAUUAUCAAUGACAUAAACUUAUUCAUCACCUCCAAAAGUUUCCUCCUGCCAGCCCUCAUUUUCUUUAGCACUUUUCUUUAAAAAGAGCUGCAUCAUAGUUAGUAAUUGGAAUAAAACUUUUCUUUAGUUUGCUUUCAAAGAUUCUUUUGAAGGACCGUGGUUUUAAGGGCAUCUCAAAAGAACUAGGUGCCCUGCCUUUAAUUGGCAGUUUCCAGUUUCAGGUCAUAAGAAUUAGGGUAAGGAACUAGGGCUUGCAAUCUGUAUACCUGCUAAAUAGAAGAUUUUGAAUUGCUUUAGGACUGGAAGCCUGGGCUGCAUAUUUUUGCAUCCUCAGUCCCUGACACAUACUAGAUGCUUCAAAAAUAUUUUUAAAUGGACAAAUAAAUGAAUAGUCACGUCAAAUAAAUGUUCUUAUUCCAGCUACCAGACCACUACUUCCAUCCACCCUGUUCCCUAUACUCAUCCUUUCUUUUCCUUCCUCAUGACCAAAUUCAUCAUUAAGAUUCAAGGCAUAUUCUAGUCUCAAACUCUCAAUGCAUUAAUUUUUAUCUUGUUUUGUGUUAGAGUGAAAUUAUGUAGAUUCCCUCAUCCACAGACCCUAUGUAAUGUGUGAAAUCACUCGCAAUAUGGAAGGCAAGCUCAUGCCAAUUGUUUGAGUACUAAUGGUGACCAUACUUGAAUUUGUCUUUUGAAACUAACUUUGGAUGAUUCCUCAUCUCAAGAUUUCUGUCUAAUGCCAAACUGAUCACUAAAUUUUGGGCUAUGGAGAAUAUGCCCUGAGAUAUUACUUCUGAGCUAAUAAGUGAUGAUUGUAAGAUAAGAUAAAGGAGAAAUCCAUGUUUACUAGUGCAUGAUUAAAGGUAUGCCUGAUAUUUAAUUGAACACAAAUUUUUAAAUACUCUUUCUAGAAUUUCCUUAAUAAAUAGCAUAUUAGCAUUUAGAAUUAUUUAGAUUGUGUAUACUUCUUCAUUCAUAUUCAUUAAUAUUAAAGAGGAAUGAGGCUAUUUUCUUCACUUAAUAGAAUUCUGGCAAAUAAGAUGUUCUCUUCCAUUAGCUCUGUGCUUGAUACCUAGAAAUCAUAACAAAUAUUUGUUAAAAAAUUUUAAUCUUAAAAACUCAAUGAAGCCAUAUUUAUCUGUCACUGUUGUUUGAGUAAACUACUCAGAAUUAAUAGACUGCACCUCAACUGCUUUACUCUAGGUAAUUUUAAUAUUAAGUGUUUUAAUUUAAUUUUAAUUAAUUUAAUUUAAUUUAAUUUUAAUAAUAAGUGUUUUCAAUACACAAAUGAAUAUGUAAUAUCCAGUAUUUGAUAAAUUAUUUCCUUUGUCAAAAAUAUUAAGAUCAUAUGUGAGAAAGAUUAUCUGUAUAGGCUUCAGUUAAAAUAUGGCACAUUUAGGAUUUGAAAACCUUUGAGAAUUUUCGAAUGUGGGCUAGUGUACUACAAGUUUUGUCAUUGUAAAUGAUGUUUACAGUAUGAGCAAACCACAGAAAAGUGGAAGCAAACCCAAAGGCUGCCCGGGAGACACAGAAGAGCUUUAGCAGAGUCUGAACGUGUCUGACGUAUGUGAGGUCUGUUCUACCGAGAAUGACCUGCCAUGCGUAAAUUUUUGUGAUGAUAUGCUGUGAUUCUUUUUAUUAAAAAUAAUGAUUUCCUAUCAGCAAAAUAAGGCAUUCUGAUCAUGAACAAUUUGAACCAUUCAAAAAAAACAAUAAUAGGAGGAAAAUCCAUCCCUAGCCUCACCAUCCGGGAAUAAACACUCAUAACAUUGUUCUCUUUAUUUUCAGCAUUUCUAUGCAUCCUUUUUUUUACCUAGCUGUGCUUAUAUAUUACGUGCAUAUGUUUAUAAUAAUUUAGAGGGAAACCUAUAAAACUUGGAGAAUAUGGGAAGGAUAAAGAAGAAAACAUCCAGAUUCCAUGAACAGAUAUAAGAUCUUAACAUUUUAAUGUGUUUUCUAAACUCCUUUUUCCUAUGCAUAUUGACAUCAUUUUUAUAUUCUGACUGUGAAGGAUAGUUAUCAGGGGGAUAUUUUUGAUGGAAGAAGAUAUAUAUUGGGGUUUGCUGAGAGAGGAUGUUGCUACAAUUAGGUUGAUUUAUUAGUUUUUCUCAAUGAACAAAAACAAUGAAAUUUAUUCAAUGUAAGAUUUAAAAAUAUGAAAAAGAAUUUCUCAAGCACUUCGAUAAUUUUCUACACAAUUAUGAUUUUGUGAAGAAGAGUCAUCUUAGUGCCCCAAAUAUUUUAAUGAAAGCAGUAGUUUGUAGGGUUUAAUAUAAAAUCCAUGUUCUGUGACUUAGAAGAUAAGUGACCUUGGAAAAGUUAUUUACUCUCUAGGUUUUGUGUUCACAUUGAUAAAAUGGGGCUAGAUGAAUUUAUGUGUGUGAAUUGCUCAGAGGAGUGCCUAUCACUUGGUAAAUGCUAUCUAUAUACAGGUUAGCCAUGACUAAUUAGUUCUGGAAAAGAACAGUAACUUCUUUACUGUUGAAAGGGGUUGUAUGCGGCCAUAGGCAUCAUAUGAAUUAUGCACACAGUGACUACAAGGGAAAACACUUUAUUGGGAACUAGCAAAGAAGCAAAAAUAGGAAAGAAAGAGCUGAACCAAAUUUUGACAUCAGGCUACAAUUAAGUAAUCUGAACCUGAUGUUACUAUUCAGACAAUGCAAGGAAAUGGUUUAGCGUCAUCAUGACAAUUGUGAGCUUAAUUUCAAGCAAGACAUUUAUAAACUGUAGAAAUCUUGGGGAUUGUUCUGCUGCAGUUGUAUUCACCGUAAAUAGACAGAUACAAGUAUUUGUGUCAAAGGUAUUAGUAAAGAUGAGAUAAUUCACAUCUAGUACUGGGUGCAAGCUGAGCACCCAAUAAAUGUUAACUGCUAUUAUUCUUAAUUGUAAUGGUAAUAUUAAUAAUAGUUCUUAAUAAUUCUAAAACUUUCUGUAUCUUUUAAUUCUUUAAUUUGUCUCAUCUCUAAGUCAUCUAGAGUGGAUAUUAAAUCUUUGGUUUCAAGCAAAGGUUUGUGAUGGUGUUUUUUUGAGUUUUUAUGUACUUGAGAACUCAUUUCUGUUUCUUUUACUAAUUAAAGAUGACUUGGGUGCACAAGUAUUUCCUCUAGUCCAUCUCAUUUUCUCAAAGGAUCAUAGACAGCUACAUCUCCAUGCUCCCCUUUAGAAUAGGGAGAAAUCUGAGGUUUGGUUUCUGUAAGGAAGCUGUUUGUCUGCCUGGAACUUGUAGGAUUUUUUUUUUUACUUUUUUUUUUUUUUACUUUU